CUACGGGUGGCACCAGUGGGGAAUAUUGCACAAUGGGGGAAACCCUGAUGCAGCCAUGCCGCGUGUGUGAAGAAGGCUUUCGGGUUGUAAAGCACUUUCAGCGAGGAGGAAAGGGUGCAAGUUAAUACCUUGUAUCUGUGACGUUACUCGCAGAAGAAGCACCGGCUAACUCCGUGCCAGCAGCCGCGGUAAUACGGAGGGUGCGAGCGUUAAUCGGAAUUACUGGGCGUAAAGCGCGCGUAGGCGGUUAAUUAAGUCAGAUGUGAAAGCCCAGGGCUCAACCUUGGAACUGCAUUUGAAACUGGUUAACUAGAGUUUUGUAGAGGGUGGUAGAAUUUCAGGUGUAGCGGUGAAAUGCGUAGAGAUCUGAAGGAAUACCAGUGGCGAAGGCGGCCACCUGGACAAAGACUGACGCUGAGGCGCGAAGGCGUGGGGAGCAAACGGGAUUAGAUACCCGAGUAGUC
rnacentral:rRNA from 1 species